AGUGAACGCUGGCGGUAAGCCUAACACAUGCAAGUCGAACGGCAGCACAGUAAGAGCUUGCUCUUACGGGUGGCGAGUGGCGGACGGGUGAGGAAUACAUCGGAAUCUACUUUUUCGUGGGGGAUAACGUAGGGAAACUUACGCUAAUACCGCAUACGACCUACGGGUGAAAGCAGGGGAUCUUCGGACCUUGCGCGAUUGAAUGAGCCGAUGUCGGAUUAGCUAGUUGGCGGGGUAAUGGCCCACCAAGGCGACGAUCCGUAGCUGGUCUGAGAGGAGGUUAACCGACCUGGGAACGGAGACACGGACAAGACCCCUGAGGGAGGAAGCAGUGGGAAAUGUGGGACAACGGGCGAAAGCCUGAUCCAGCCAUCCCGCGUGGGUGAAGAAGGCUUUGGGUUCGUAAAGCCUUUUUUUGGGGAAGAAAAAGCAGUAGGUUAUUACCACGCUUUUCUGACGGUACCAAAAAAAUAAGCACCGGCUAACUUCGUG
rnacentral:rRNA from 1 species